rnacentral:tRNA from 1 species
ACCUUCGUGGUGUAAUUGUUAGCACACUCGGCCCGUAUUCGAGAGGUCCAGGUUCGAGUCCCAGCGAGGGCA